GCUGCUCUCCCGGUCGCCCAGUCGCCUGGCCUGGAAUGAGGCCACCACCCGGCAGGUCACCAUGCCGGAAAGAACCACGUCCGUCAGCAAUCUGGAGAAGAAGAAUUCACAUUUAAAGUUUGGAAAGUGGCAGAAAAAAAAGGU
rnacentral:lncRNA from 9 species